UUAGCACAGACAUUCUGGGGCCCGGU
rnacentral:piRNA from 1 species